CGAGCGGAAGGCCCUUCGGGGUACUCGAGCGGCGAACGGGUGAGUAACACGUGAGCAACCUGCCCUAGGCUUUGGGAUAACCCUCGGAAACGGGGGCUAAUACCGAAUAUUCACUCAUGGGCGCAUGUUUGUGGGUGGAAAGUUUUUCGGCUUGGGAUGGGCUCGCGGCCUAUCAGCUUGUUGGUGGGGUAAUGGCCUACCAAGGCGACGACGGGUAGCCGGCCUGAGAGGGCGACCGGCCACACUGGGACUGAGACACGGCCCAGACUCCUACGGGAGGCAGCAGUGGGGAAUAUUGCACAAUGGGCGGAAGCCUGAUGCAGCGACGCCGCGUGAGGGAUGACGGCCUUCGGGUUGUAAACCUCUUUCAGCAGGGACGAAGCGCAAGUGACGGUACCUGCAGAAGAAGCGCCGGCCAACUACGUGCCAGCAGCCGCGGUAAGACGUAGGGCGCGAGCGUUGUCCGGAUUUAUUGGGCGUAAAGAGCUCGUAGGCGGCUUGUCGCGUCGACUGUGAAAACCCGUGGCUCAACUGCGGGCCUGCAGUCGAUACGGGCAGGCUAGAGUUCGGUAGGGGAGACUGGAAUUCCUGGUGUAGCGGUGAAAUGCGCAGAUAUCAGGAGGAACACCGGGUGGCGAAGGCGGGUCUCUGGGCCGAUACUGACGCUGAGG
rnacentral:rRNA from 1 species